rnacentral:rRNA from 1 species
CCUACGGGCGGCAGCAGUCGAGAAUCAUUCACAAUGGGGGAAACCCUGAUGGUGCGACGCCGCGUGGGGGAAUGAAGGCCUUCGGAUUGUAAACCCCUGUCAUGUGGGAGCAAAUUAAAAAGAUAGUACCACAAGAGGAAGAGACGGCUAACUCUGUGCCAGCAGCCGCGGUAAUACAGAGGUCUCAAGCGUUGUUCGGAAUCACUGGGCGUAAGGCGUGCGUAGGCUGUUUCGUAAGUCGUGUGUGAAAGGCGCGGGCUCAACCCGCGGACGGCACAUGAUACUGCGAGACUAGAGUAAUGGAGGGGGAACCGGAAUUCUCGGUGUAGCAGUGAAAUGCGUAGAUAUCGAGAGGAACACUCGUGGCGAAGGCGGGUUCCUGGACAUUAACUGACGCUGAGGCACGAAGGCCAGGGGAGCGAAAGGGAUUAGAUACCCCGGUAGUC